rnacentral:rRNA from 1 species
GACGAACGCUGGCGGCGUGCUUAACACAUGCAAGUCGAACGAAGUGGCGAACGGGUGAGUAACGCGUAAUCAACCUGCCCUUCAGAGGGGGUCAACAGUUGGAAACGACUGCUAAUACCACAUACUGAUGAGGGGGUUUGCGUCUGAUGAGCUAGUUGGAGGGGUAACGGCCCACCAAGGCGAUGAUCAGUAGGCGGUCUGGGGAGAUGGACGGACAAAUUGGGACUGAGAAACGGGCCAGACUCCUACGGGAGGCAGGAGGGGGGAAAUGUCGGCAAAGGACGAAAGUCUGACGGAGCAACGCCGCGUGAGAGAGGACGGCCUUCGGGUUGUAAAGCUCGGUUAAUCGGGACGCGGUACCGGAAUAGAAAGCCACGGCUAACUACGUGCCAGCAGCCGCGGUAAUUC